rnacentral:rRNA from 1 species
GACGAACGCUGGCGGCGUGCUUAACACAUGCCAGUCGAACGGAAAGGCCCUGCUUUUGUGGGGUGCUCGAGUGGCGAACGGGUGAGUAACACGUUAGUAACCUGCCCUUGACUUUGUUAUAACUUCAGGAAACUUGGGCUAAUACCGUAUAGGAUCUCCUGCUGCAUGGUGUGGGUUGGAAAGUUUCGUCGGUUGGGGAUGGACUCGCGGCUUAUCAGCUUGUUGGUGGGGUAGUGGCUUACCAAGGCUUUGACGGGUAGCAGGACUGAGAGGGUGACCGGCGACAAUGGGACUGAGAUAGGGACCAGACUCCUACGGGAGGCAGCAGUGGGGAAUAGUGCAAAAUGGGCGGAAGCCUGAUGAAGCAACGCGGCGUGCGGGAUGACGGCCUUCGGGUUGUAAAACGCUUUCGCAUGUGACGAAGCGUGAGUGACGGUAAUGGGUAAAGAAGCACCGGCUAACUACGUG